GUGGCGUUUUCUGCAGCAAGUGUUUCCACCUGCUUCUGGCUGAACUCCAGGGAUUCUUUUAGAGAUUGAAAUUCCCGGUGUAAGAUCUCCACCAGGGACAGCCUCGCAUCAAAACUGGACAAUCGCUUAUCGAUUGACUCCAGGAUGUCGACGAUAUCUUUGCCGGCAGGCGAUGUUGUGCCGGGGGAGUCUGCCGGGCGAUAUCUUUUAGAUGAUGGCGUCUCAGUUUUGGCCGGGGAAGACAUGCUCUGGGCCUUCUUCAUUACUAAAUCUUCGAAGCACCGGUCGAUGUAUUCUUGGAGAGCGUCUAAACUCUCCUCGUUGUCCUCCAGGGUGUUAGAGAUGAUAGGACAGAUGUUGUUAGUUAUAUGACAGUUGGUUAGUUUAUUUGACAAUACUGAAGAUUAAAGAAACUUUGUUAAAUUCUAGGCUACCAUUCGUUUGUUUUGUUUUUUUUCCGCCAAAUCUCCGGCGUCUGACGUCACCUACAACAUGGGUCCUUACCUUACCGCCGUCACUUCCGUCACUUACCUCUAUUGCCCACUUCGCACCAGAAAGAGGAAGAAAAGAAAUUUUAAAGAAGUUUGGUUGAUUUUCCUCAAAGUGACACUGAAGGCCUUCACACACUGCACCCAUGUGAACAUUUCAGAUGGUUCGUUAUGUGGUUCUGAAUCUCUGUGAACUAUUAGAAACUGCAACAUGAAGAUGGAUAACUUUCUUAGCAGCACCUUUAAUCUCCACAAAACAAAUACAGCACUUCCUGUGUGCAGCCCCCACGAGACUUCCCUAGCAAAUCAGAAGCCAGGAAAUCCCAGACUCAGUGCUCCAGUGCAGGUCUGUACCAGUGCAGUGUGACCGGCCUGGUGUUUGUCAUGAAGGGAGAAGGAGACGUGGUUUACAGGACUGUCCCUUGGUACAUGAGGCUGCUGGCACAACACCACAAGAAGCCUGCAGGACCCCUGUUUGACAUCAAAUGUGAGCAGCAGUCUGUGUGUCAGCUUCAUCUCCCACACUGUGAGGUCAUCUCCACAGGUGGAGGUCAGUUCUUGGAGGUCGCUCAUGUGAAGGAUGAGGGCAUCAAAUUUAUUACCC
ensembl:lncRNA